rnacentral:sRNA from 1 species
CAACUUUUUCCAAAAACUAACUCUCGGGCCCUAUCGAAAGGUAUUAAUGAAGUCCUCAUUCAAAACUGGUACCCUUCUUUUAAAACCCUGGCUCUUGAAGGUUUAAUCCACAAUGUUUAGUAGCCCAUUUUAUUGCCCUGGAGCCCACUGUGUCUUAAACCUGAUCGAUGCACGCACACAUACAAGCACACGAAGCCGAUCCUGCCCCACACACAUACACGUAAGGCAAACGAUGCUACCACCACUACCAACC